rnacentral:rRNA from 1 species
CCUACGGGAGGCAGCAGUGGGGAAUAUUGGACAAUGGGCGAAAGCCUGAUCCAGCAAUGCCGCGUGAGUGAUGAGGGCCUUAGGGUUGUAAAGCUCUUUUACUAGGGAUGAUAAUGACAGUACCUAGAGAAUAAGCCCCGGCUAACUCCGUGCCAGCAGCCGCGGUAAUACGGAGGGGGCUAGCGUUGUUCGGAAUUACUGGGCGUAAAGAGUACGUAGGCGGUUAUUCAAGUCAGAGGUGAAAGCCUGGAGCUCAACUCCAGAACUGCCUUUGAAACUAGAUAGCUAGAAUCAUGGAGAGGUUAGUGGAAUUCCGAGUGUAGAGGUGAAAUUCGUAGAUAUUCGGAAGAACACCAGUGGCGAAGGCGACUAACUGGACAUGUAUUGACGCUGAGGUACGAAAGCGUGGGGAGCAAACAGGAUUAGAUACCCUGGUAGUCCACGCCGUAAACGAUGAUAACUAGCUGUUCGGGCUCUCAGAGCUUGAGUGGCGCNGCUACGCAUAAGUUAUCCGCCGUGGGAGGUACGGUCGCGAGAGUAAACUAACUAAUAGUUAGUUAGUAGGCGUUGAGACGUUGCCGACGGACGACGACGAGGGAGGUUAGG